GGGGGGACACUCUUUAAUCCAUUUCAGCACAGAGACAGGUAACCAUGUGGUCAAAGGUAACACCCAGAUGAACUGUUCCACUAGCAAGUUGUGAAGACAGCUAACUCCACCAAACGAACUUCAGCAAACAGGCAGGAGGAGCUAGAAAGUGGUUACGUCAGGGUUGGUUGAAAUCUCAGGAAAACAUCUCAUUCUUGUCUCCUCUGCCAAGACAGAGCUGCGUCUACCUGUCAUUCCCAGCAGAGGUGUGCCAAAAAUUCUGCAGGGAUGAGAAAUUCUCUAUCUUCCCAGGUAAUGCAUAGAAGGUUUCCUUCCCCAGGCCAUUACAAAAUUUUGGUGGAUUUUGUUGUUCAUUUUUGUACAGAUGCUUAAGUUGAUUCAUCUUCACUCCAAUUUUACCCUCUGACUAUUUGGCCUAACUGGACUGGACACUGAGAACACAAAAAUAUCUUUUAACCCUUUCUCCACUAUGUUAUUUUUACAGUGCAGAUUCUCUUCAUUGCUCCCAUUGGUAUACUACUCUACACUACAAAAAUAUUAAUAAUAACAAUAAAUCUUUUCAUCCAUAGAUUUGAUUAGUAAUAGUUUGAAUGCAAAUGGGAUUGACAGGGUAAAACAAGUGAGGAAUUUACUGUAUUAAUGCAUGCUCCAAGCUUUGCUAUGCAAAGCAGAAUUCGUUUGUUCAGUGUACUGUUUGGCAUUUGAAACAAAUUGAUGAAGUCAUUAACAGUAACUCAUUAAACUGAGAUAAUAUGACAAUUUACAAUUGUUUAAUGCAAUGUCAGAAUCACAUCUAUCAAUUUUCCAGUAAAUAUUCCCAAAGUGGACGGAGAAAGAAGUAAAGUAAAACACAAGGAAUUCAUGCUAGCAGCAGUGUUCCUCUCUAUUCCUUGCUGCAUCUGUGCCACAUGCAGUGCAAAUCUCUGCUGCAUGUUGAAUAUUAAUUUUUUUUAAAUGCAGUGGUAACGGGAAAUAAUGGAUAUGAACAUUUAGCAAUGGAUAUAUGCCAUAUAGCCAAAGAGGCAAAUUUUGCCCAUCAGUUUGUGCAUAUGUUUCAUAAACAAAAAAGGAAGUCUAUGUUUGGGUGCUGGGGGAGAUGCUAUAAAGUAUUUAUUGCAACUUGUUUUUGUAAGUCUUGUCUAGCAAAUCCAUGUGGUUUCCUUCAAAUUUUCAGUAAUAAACAUUUAACAGCGUGUUCCACCA